rnacentral:rRNA from 1 species
GACGUAGGGCGCGAGCGUUGUCCGGAUUUAUUGGGCGUAAAGAGCUCGUAGGCGGCUUGUCGCGUCGUUCGUGAAAACCCACGGCUCAACUGUGGGCUUGCGGGCGAUACGGGCAGGCUGGAGUUCGGUAGGGGAGACUGGAAUUCCUGGUGUAGCGGUGAAAUGCGCAGAUAUCAGGAGGAACACCGGUGGCGAAGGCGGGUCUCUGGGCCGAUACUGACGCUGAGGAGCGAAAGCGUGGGGAGCGAACAGG